UUUCCGUAUGAUGGUCCCCAAAAAUGUAUUUUGUGGUGCCACAUGACCUCUGCGAACAGGCAUGUUUACACCCGAUCUUCGGAUCAGUUCUCUCCCUGAACACAAGAGUUCUCCAGUGAUCUACACGGCUACAGCCCAGACCACUGAGCGAGCUUCUCUUUGUGACAAAUCAUCCUCUUUUGAAAUACAGAAAUCUCUUCCCAUUAGCACCACUUCUAGACACACGCUUUUCCCACUGGAGCAAAAUCCAUUCCCCACACCUUCCUGAGGGGGACCUCGCACCGGACUGUCGUUUGCUCCGGGCUCGGCGCCACGGUAUCCUGCAAGGGCUUCCUCUUUGCAAAGCCUGCCCCCGCUACAGAGCAUGCCCAGCUUCACUGCUCGAGCCUCCGAGGAGUUGAAAUGCGCGGGUUGUUGCACUUGUUCAGGUGUUGGUCUCGGUGGGCACCAGGGAAAGGGAAGAGGCCACCAGAGCUUGCGGUCCAAAACAGAGAUGGAGCCUGGAAAGGGUGAGGCAGGACGAAGGAGUGAAGGAACAAAAGCCCUGGUUUACCUUGGAGGAAAAGACAGAACAGAGACACGACUACCUUGACCACUUUGAAUUCUCCUUCCACCCAUAGACAACAUUGGAGCAGAUUCACUCCCUUCUUCCCGGAUUUCUUCUAUAUGUUCUCUUCCCUUUAAGCCCCCAAGUACACCAACUUCUUUGAUUAUUUUGAACUUAACUUUUUUUCCCCCUCCAGAAGGAAACUUGGUAGCACUGUUGUGAUUUAUUUAUGAAGAGCCAUGCUAUAACUAUCACUCAGCAAAUCAGAUCUGUCCACAUUUCUCAACAGAGGAUUUAGUUUUUUGAGUAUACCAGGUCACAGUCCUUUCCAUUUUUUUUGUACCCUUCUUCCCUCUUCAGCCUACUCAGAUUCGAUUUUGAUUAAACAUGUCUUUCUCUUUA